CCUACGGGGGUCAGCAGUGAGGAAUAUUGGUCAAUGGGCGUAAGCCUGAACCAGCCAAGUCGCGUGAGGGAUGAAGGUUCUAUGGAUCGUAAACCUCUUUUAUAAGGGAAUAAAGUGUGGGACGUGUCCUAUUUUGUAUGUACCUUAUGAAUAAGGAUCGGCUAACUCCGUGCCAGCAGCCGCGGUAAUACGGAGGAUCCGAGCGUUAUCCGGAUUUAUUGGGUUUAAAGGGUGCGUAGGCGGCCGUUUAAGUCAGCGGUGAAAGUCUGUGGCUCAACCAUCUAAUUGCCGUUGAAACUGGGGGGCUUGAGUAUGUGUGAGGCAGGCGGAAUGCGUGGUGUAGCGGUGAAAUGCUUGGAUAUCACGCAGAACCCCGAUUGCGAAGGCAGCCUGCCAAGCCAUGACUGACGCUGAUGCACGAAAGCGUGGGGAUCAAACAGGAUUAGAUACCCUUGUAGUC
rnacentral:rRNA from 1 species